rnacentral:rRNA from 1 species
AAUGGGUCAGCGACUUAUAUUCUGUAGCAAGGUUAACCGAAUAGGGGAGCCGAAGGGAAACCGAGUCUUAACUGGGCGUUAAGUUGCAGGGUAUAGACCCGAAACCCGGUGAUCUAGCCAUGGGCAGGUUGAAGGUUGGGUAACACUAACUGGAGGACCGAACCGACUAAUGUUGAAAAAUUAGCGGAUGACUUGUGGCUGGGGGUGAAAGGCCAAUCAAACCGGGAGAUAGCUGGUUCUCCCCGAAAGCUAUUUAGGUAGCGCCUCGUGAAUUCAUCUCCGGGGGUAGAGCACUGUUUCGGCAAGGGGGUCAUCCCGACUUACCAACCCGAUGCAAACUGCGAAUACCGGAGAAUGUUAUCACGGGAGACACACGGCGGGUGCUAACGUCCGUCGUGAAGAGGGAAACAACCCAGACCGCCAGCUAAGGUCCCAAAGUCAUGGUUAAGUGGGAAACGAUGUGGGAAGGCCCAGACAGCCAGGAUGUUGGCUUAGAAGCAGCCAUCAUUUAAAGAAAGCGUAAUAGCUCACUGGUCGAGUCGGCCUGCGCGGAAGAUGUAACGGGGCUAAACCAUGCACCGAAGCUGCGGCAGCGACACUGUGUGUUGUUGGGUAGGGGAGCGUUCUGUAAGCCUGUGAAGGUGUGCUGUGAGGCAUGCUGGAGGUAUCAGAAGUGCGAAUGCUGACAUAAGUAACGAUAAAGCGGGUGAAAAGCCCGCUCGCCGGAAGACCAAGGGUUCCUGUCCAACGUUAAUCGGGGCAGGGUGAGUCGACCCCUAAGGCGAGGCCGAAAGGCGUAGUCGAUGGGAAACAGGUUAAUAUUCCUGUACUUGGUGUUACUGCGAAGGGGGGACGGAGAAGGCUAUGUUGGCCGGGCGACGGUUGUCCCGGUUUAAGCGUGUAGGCUGGUUUUCCA